rnacentral:misc_RNA from 1 species
AAUCUCAGCCUGUUUAUCCUAUUAACUGCUGCUCUCAUGAAGUCGUUGUCAUGGGGUAAAAUGAGGGGACAGUCAAGGACAAGGGCUUUGUCUCGGUAGUUAUGAUGUCCAGACUCCACCGGACAUCUAUAUGUUACUUUACCCCAGGGAAUCUUUGCCACUGUGUUAUAUAUAGUUACGACCCCAGAGGUAAAGCAACAUCCGAUGAGUGGGGAUCGAGGCUUCAGGAGGUUCAAAGGAGAGACGCACCUCUCUCUACCUGACUGGCGUGACCCCGCCCCUGACCCCGCCUGACAAGGGAAAGCACUUAGUGGUUGCCGUCGGCUUGUUGCUGUCGAGGCCUCAGAAUGGAUAAAAAAAUGCGUGAAACGCUACGCCGGAGUCGCGCGUUUUUACUGGACAAUGUCGUCAUGAAGGAUUUGAUGGACUACAUGAUCGAACAAGAUAUCUUCUCUGAUGCAAUGAGAGAAAAGAUCAUGGCAGGUCAGACUAACGGAGAACAGAUUAAAAGAAUGCUGGAUGAACUGGCUAGACGACCACCCUGCUGUUUUGAAAAGUUCAUUGUUGCACUACGGAAAUCAUCUCAAGAACACUGUGCAGACUUUGUGCAAUCUAUUUAUAGCAGUGGUUCUUAACCUUGUUUGAAGUACCGAACCCACAAGUUUCAUAUGCACAUUCACCGAACCCUUCUUAAGUUUCAUAUGCACAUUCACCGAACUUAUAAUUAUAUAGUUGGUGACUCUUAGUUUUGACUUCCACGAAAUCUAUUACAAUAGCUAGAAUAUUCAAAGAGAUUUUUGUUUCAAUUUAACACCUUAUGAAUCAAACCUGUAUAUUUAAUUUUGCACUAGGAUCAGCCAUUUUGUUCACAAGUUUGCCCUGUUACGUUAAGGUUUAAUUAGGCCCGAAGCAAUUAUAUAUAUACAUUUUACAUGAAGCUAGUAAUCUAAUUAUUAUAGAAAUGUAUUUCACUAAUCAGAAUAAACAUUAAAACAAUUACAGCAUCAGCUACCUGAUACCCCAACCCCAAAAAAGCUGGGGGGUGUGUGUGUCUGCUGAUAUACAGAUCCAAAAUCUAAACAGUCAAGAUGGCGCAGGGAUCGUAAUAGUCGGCAAAGUGGUCCUUACAAAAAAAAAAUCCACUUGCCAGAGACCUGGGGGCACAGUGUCUGUCAACAGCUCAUAUAUAUCCUUGCUUUAACUUUUAAUAUUCCCCUGGCAAUGCUUGGACCUCAGUAAAGCUACCACUUGAAAACCUGGAUUUUCCUCUCACAGAAAAAUGCUAUGUACAUGUAUGACAUGCUGCAAACUCAGAUCUUUGUGAACCACAGAGAUGUUUUCAUAAAAAUGAGUUUAUUUUUACAUAAUUUGUAAGCAAUGUCUAAGAAAUAUUAACUUUAUAUGUGUAUAUAUAUAUAAAGCAUUAUCAGAAUGACAAGUAUUUAAAUGUGGAAAACAGGCUCAAAGGAAAGGCAUUGUAUAAAGAUAAAAACAGAGUAAGAAUCAAUUAUGCAUCACAUACCUCACAUUGUAGCAAUAAAAUGCAAAAGAACAUAUGUGACAUGGCUAGCACAUGAGAUGUUUUGAUAAAUUUAUGAAAGUAAGUAUAUUUAGAAUACAUGUAAUGAUUGUGUUUUCAUUGACCUUUACCGUCUUGUAUGCCAAAUCACUAUGAGGGUGUAUUUAAAAUGUGUACAGUAACUUGAAACAAAAAACAGUAAUGGAAUGAUAAACUAUCUUGUAGAAAAGUAAGACUUGAAGGUUGUUUAGUACACAAUUAGCAUUAAAACAUACAAACCCUGACUUUUUUCAAAUAGAUUUUCUGCCCCCCACCAAUCCCACAACAAGUUGUAGAAAAGACAUUAAAGCAUUCACAUGUGACUUAGAAAAUGCUAACAUUCUAUGUAACAAAAGUACUGAAAAAAUAAUCUGUUUGUAUUUUUAAAAAAAGCAUCUAAAAUCAAAUCUUUAAAUUCUUUCUGAAAAUUGGGCCACUGUGAUAUCUUUUAUGGACAUCCUAUCAUACUGCUGGUUAUACUCCUGGACAAUUCUACUAGGUCUCCAUAUUGUAAAAAAGAUCAAUAACAAUGCACAGAAGCCAAUAAAACUUUUCCUAA